rnacentral:rRNA from 1 species
GUCAUAAUUAUUCUUGAGUCUCUUCCUGAAGAGUUUGAACAAUUUAAGGUCAACUAUAACUCUCUAAAGGAAAAAUGGCCACUCUCUGAGAUGACCGCAAGGAUCGUCCAGGAGGAAGAAAGGAUCAUGAGGCAGAAGAAAGACCAUGUCUUUCAUGUUGGCUCUAACAAGAGAAAGCAUGACGGACAAGGUUUUCCUAAGCCUCAGAAAAAGCAAGUCAAGAAAGAAGGCACUAAGCCAUUCAACCCUAAGGCAUUCAAGGGUAAAGAAGCCGGUGGUUCUUCUUCUGCUCCUAGCAGCUCCACUGCUGGAGAAAAUGCUUGUAACUUCUGCAAAGAAGAGGGACACUAUCAAAGGGACUACCCAGGCUUUCUAAAAUGGAUGAACAAAAGAGGGAUUCGAUACGAUCCAAACCAU